rnacentral:rRNA from 1 species
CCUACGGGAGGCUGCAGUGAGGAAUAUUGGUCAAUGGUCGGGAGACUGAACCAGCCAAGCCGCGUGAGGGAUGAAGGUACAGAGUAUCGUAAACCUCUUUUGUCAGGGAACAAAGGCGGGGACGUGUCCCCGGAUGAGUGUACCUGAAGAAAAAGCAUCGGCUAACUCCGUGCCAGCAGCCGCGGUAAUACGGAGGAUGCGAGCGUUAUCCGGAUUGAUUGGGUUUAAGGGGUGCGCGGGCGGUCUGUUAAGUCAGCGGUCAAAGCCCGGGGCUCAACCCCGGACCGCCGUUGAAACUGGCAGUCUCGAGUUGGAGAGAAGUAUGCGGAAUGCGCGGUGUAGCGGUGAAAUGCAUAGAUAUCGCGCAGAACUCCGAUUGCGAAGGCAGCAUGCCGGCUCCACACUGACGCUGAGGCACGAAAGCGUGGGUAUCGAACAGGAUUAGAUACCCCUGUAGUC